GCGUGAGUAGUGGAAUGGUACAGCACGUACUCCCGGAAAGAGUAGGUCUGGGUCCGAAUUCCACCUGACGCA